rnacentral:rRNA from 1 species
GACGAACGCUGGCGGCGUGCCUAAUACAUGCAAGUAGAACGCUGAAGGAGGAGCUUGCUUCUCUGGAUGAGUUGCGAACGGGUGAGUAACGCGUAGGUAACCUGCCUGGUAGCGGGGGAUAACUAUUGGAAACGAUAGCUAAUACCGCAUAAGAGUAGAUGUUGCAUGACAUUUGCUUAAAAGGUGCAAUUGCCUCACUACCAGAUGGACCUGCGUUGUAUUAGCUAGUUGGUGAGGUAACGGCUCACCAAGGCGACGAUACAUAGCCGACCUGAGAGGGUGGACGGCCACACUGGGACUGAGACCAGGCCCAGACCCCUUCGGGAGGCAGCAGUAGGGGAACUUCGGCAAUGGACGGAAGGCUGACCGAGGACCGACGGGUUAGUGAAGAAGGUUUUCGGAUCUGAAAGGUCUGUUUUAAGAGAAGAACGAGUGUGAGAGUGGAAAGUUCACACUGUGACGGUAUCUUACCAGAAAGGGACGGCUAACUACGUG